rnacentral:rRNA from 1 species
GACGAACGCUGGCGGCGUGCUUAACACAUGCAAGUCGAACGGAAAGGCCCUGCUUUUGUGGGUGCUCGAGUGGCGAACGGGUGAGUAACACGUGAGUAACCUGCCCUUGACUUUGGGAUAACUUCAGGAAACUGGGGCUAAUACCGGAUAGGAGCUCCUGCUGCCUGGUGGGGGUUGGAAAGUUUCGGCGGUUGGGGAUGGACUCGCGGCUUAUCAGCUUGUUGGUGGGGUAGUGGCUUACCAAGGCUUUGACGGGUAGCCGGCCUGAGAGGGUGACCGGCCACAUUGGGACUGAGAUACGGCCCAGACUCCUACGGGAGGCAGCAGUGGGGAAUAUUGCACAAUGGGCGGAAGCCUGAUGCAGCAACGCCGCGUGCGGGAUGACGGCCUUCGGGUUGUAAACCGCUUUCGCCUGUGACGAAGCGUGAGUGACGGUAAUGGGUAAAGAAGCACCGGCUAACUACGUG